rnacentral:rRNA from 1 species
CGGGGUGAGUAAUGUCUGGGAAACUGCCUGAUGGAGGGGGAUAACUGCUGGAAACGGUAGCUAAUACCGCAUAACGUCGCAAGACCAAAGAGGGGGACCUUCGGGCCUCUUGCCAUCGGAUGUGCCCAGAUGGGAUUAGCUAGUAGGUGGGGUAACGGCUCACCUAGGCGACGAUCCCUGGCUGGUCUGAGAGGAUGGCCAGCCACACUGGAACUGAGACACGGUCCAG